rnacentral:lncRNA from 1 species
GCUCAUUCUUUUCCUUCUCUUGUAGCGCCCAUUUCCUUUCUCUCUCUCUCUAGAAUUCUAUUUUCACUCUAUAAUAAUAAUAAAGCCCUGUCCCAUUUUAAGUAUUUUAACCCUUGACCACUGAUACCCUGUCCAAGUGACGUAGGGCCCCGUAACGUAUAUCAAGGCUCUGCCUAAAUUCGUUGGGGUUCUGUCUCGUGACGUAGGGAUAAAGUGUAAUUGGGUUACUAUAUUUAAGUGUGAGUGCACUAUAUAUUUUACCAAAUCACCCAGGAGUGAUACCCAAAAUAUAACAACUUUCCUAAAACACCCAUGACACCCCUACACUUCCUAAAAUACACCCCGUAUGUGAAAACCAAGCCCGAAAUACAACAUAGCAUUAACAGUAAAUGAAAAACAAGAAAUAGUAAGUUGAGGCGGGCCGCGUGAUCCCACCCCAAACCCUUACGCGGGCCGUAUGAAAGCUAGAACCGGACUCCUUUGGUUUCUUAAGUCUAGGCGGGCCGCGUAAGGCCACACCGUUAGCUUACGCGGGCCGCGAGUGUCCCAAUUGGUGGCGCAGCCCGGUGAUGACACGUGUCAUCAUCGUGGCAAGGCUAGAUCAUGACCAGGAUAAGCUACGCAUUGACUGGAGUUUGACGCGGGCCGCGUAGACUCCUGUCUACCCUUACGCGGGCCGCGUGAAGACCAAGAAUCAGCAACUAUAAAUAGCAGGCAUCGGGUUUCAUUCGGAAUUCGUUCACGAUCUUUUCUUUCUCUCAAAAUCUGAACAUUAGGCAAUAUAAGCGGGCAUUUUACCCCCCUAAUUAAGCGAAGCUCUGCCUCGUUGUAAGUAUCAUAACCCCUGGAUACGUAUUAGAUACUCUGCCCGAUUGAUCUAGGGUUCCGUAACGACUGUCGUGGUUCUGCCCGACGUAGUCGUUGGAAUGCCGUCUCGGGGAGGACUAUAACCAGGGAAUCACAGAGGAAAGCCUUAUAAUAGCAAUGUAACUUAGUGUAAAGCCAAUAGAAGCCAGCUGGAGAACACUGGAGACUUGGAAAAGUGGCAAUAAAGUUACCUAAAAUAAAAUAGAUGUUUUUAUUAAAUAAAUUAGGAUUUAUUCCUAUGAAAAUGUAUGUACUGAAAAACUUGGGUUUUAUCCCAUGUGUUUAAUAUAAUGAAAAUAUGGUGGUUUUACU